ensembl:snRNA U6 U6 spliceosomal RNA
GUGCUCACUUCAGCAGCAAAUACACUAAAAUUGGAAGGAUACAGAGAAAUUAGGAUGGCCCCUGCACAAGGAUGAUAUGCAAAUUUAUAGUGUUCCAUAUUUUU